ACACAGCUCCUCAUCAGCUCCAAUGACCGGCCUGGUAGAAAAACAGACACUUGUUGCUGUUUGCUCCAGCGCUCCGGCCAGCUGCAAUUUGAUUAACCAGAGCCCUCUGAUCAAACUGAUCCGUGGAAACAAGCGGUUUACAAACACUGUCAGGGGAGAGACACAGGACCCCGGUCAGUGACUCACCCACUUCUGAUGAGCACUAACCUCAGUACGAUGAGGAUGGCCCUCUGGUCCCCUGACGGUUCCCGUUAAUCAGUCUAUGAGAGCACGCACGCGCUUCAGGCGAAACUCCAGUCAAUUUAUUAAACCGAGAUGGAGCACCUCUGGAAGCAGGGAUCAGGCUCCGCUUUGCUCCAUCCCUCAUGAUUAACUUGUUUGAGAAUUACAGUGGACAAUUAUUUUUCUGCAACAGCUGCGGCUCAGAUGAGGCCCAGAAAUAAAUAUCC